UCUGCUGUCUGCAAGCUUUUUUCAAACUUCUGCUGACCACUGCUGGUCUUGGAGUAUAAUUCUGAUGCUAUUAUGUUUGAGGACUCUUUACGAGUCAACUACGGAUGGCAAGACAUUUGUUGACUGCUUCAAGGACCAGAAUAUCAUGCCCGGUAUCAAGGUUGACAAGGAUCCAACAAUGAAUGUCAGUGCCAAGGUCUGGAUGGAUUGGCUUCAAGAUGUGCCGAGUACUACAAGCAGGGGGCACGUUUUGCAAAGUGGUCAGUUUAUACCCUCAUUGUGCAUUUUCUGACUCAUGAGAAUGACUUUCCCUUUCUAAGCCUGCGAUGAUGUAUCUGUCUUCUCCAUGUGAAUUGUUGAAGUGUCAUGGGGUCUUGCCCGUUAUGCUGCUAUUGCUCAAGUCACUACAUUUCCAACUACUGAACUUUUCGCAAUGAAGAAGUCAUCCUUUCUGUAGUGCAUUUCUGGUGGACAUAAACAUAGUAGAAAACAGUAGCUAUAACCAAAACAAUGUUUAGGGUUGCAAGAAUAUCCAGCUCUCUCUAGACCUCUCUGUAUGAUCACUGAACAAACUCAUCAUGCAGUAGAGUAUGAACCCUAAUGAUUCUGAUCCUCUUCUUCAGGUGGAGUGCAAUUGAGGUAAAAGAAUGCUUGUGCCAUUGUUGCAUGAAACCAAUGAUUUUUGUGCUUAGUGUUGUGGCCCUUUGCUUUAAUACUUCUGAUGGUACAGUACAUGUUGAUGUCUUCUUGCAGAUGAGCACCAUAAUACGAGUAACACAUAAUGUCAACUUGCAGAUUUUGUGGUAGUGGUGGUUCGCAGUUGGCUAAGCCUGGAGCUGGUGGCGUCCCCAAAUGAGAUGGGAUUAUCUCUGUAUCAUCUGCAACAACAGAAGCCAUCCAUUAGAAGUGAAGCAAAUGAGUGAGAAUGGCAUGCACGUCUUGACUGACUGCAUCCAAACACACCAGUAGGAUUACCACUAUCCUGGAUGUGUUUGCAAAUCAAAACAUAGCAGUGCUAGAUUAAGCUAGAGGUAUAUUUUGGAUACAAUGCUUUAGUUAACCGUAGGCUGAUUUACUGACAUUUGUAUUUGGUAGAGAAAUUUACCACUGUUUGUGCCAUGCUAGCUUUCUGGAACAAACAGUUCCAUCUUUUCCAAGAGGAACAAGAAUAACUCCUUUGAAUGCCUACCUCCAGUGUGAUGAGAUUUAGUCUGAUGUUCUGACUCAAUACCAAUGUAAAUGCUACCCUGUUGGGGUUGUCUGGCAGUUGUAAACUUCACUGUUGUACAUAUGUGUUGGUAAUAGUUUUUUAUCCUUGCAGGUUGUGCCAUUUUGUGUUCUGAUUGAUUUGCAGGGAUACGUAAGUUCGUUGUUGCGGUGUCUAUUUAUGGCAUGUCUGGUUCUUCAGUUCUUAAUUUUUUUGAAUUGUGAGAUGUAAGCUAAUGCUAUUUUGCAACACGUUAAGGCGGUAAAUUGUCCAUGGCACUAAAAUUAGUUGUCCAUGUAUGAACUAUGAUCCUUGAUCAUUUAAGCUUAAAUGCUUGGCCCCUGUUAUGCUUCCCAGGGCUUCUAUACAGUGAGUUAUGUUGUCUCAAGGAGUUACUUGCACUAUUGUUUUUGGUACGACAUUUAUUAAUAUAAUUUCCAGAUUAUCCAAACAUGCUCAUUAUGUAUUACCUUGUUUGCGGUGUUCCGUUUGUAUUUAUAUUAACUGUUCAGGUAUUUUUGUGCCAAUGGUCUAAAAAUGCACUUCAAAUAAUUAAGUUGAUGUCCCAAGAGUAUUUGGCGAAAUGAUGUACUCCCUCCGGUUUAAAAUAAGUGUUGGAUAUUUAAUUAGUUCAAGCUUUAUACUACAUCAAUAUAAAAUGUUUGGCACUUUUGCAGGAGGGAGACAAUAAUACCUUGUUGACUUGACAACUUUGAUGGCCCAGAACAUAGGUGUGUGAGACUUUCCGCGGAAGAGUAACAGGAAGACGCAAAACUUGGAACCACGUAGAUGCACAACAAUGUUGUCUUGUUUUUGCAUUUGAUAUUAUGAUGUUGUAGUAAAUUAUUUGGUAUUAUUAUGUUGUAGUAAAUUAUGAUAUCUCUGAUUUGUUCUGAAUUUUUAUAGUGAGAUAUGAAUUAUAUAUGUGCAUUGAUAAAAAAAAUUUGAGUACUCGUGGCAACGCACGGGCAUUUGU